ACUCAAAGGAAUUGACGGGGGCCCGCACAAGCGGUGGAGCAUGUGGUUUAAUUCGAUGCAACGCGAAGAACCUUACCGGGUCUUGACAUCCAACGAAUCUGGUGGAAACACCGGAGUGCUCUUCGGAGAACGUUGAGACAGGUGGUGCAUGGUUGUCGUCAGCUCGUGUCGUGAGAUGUUGGGUUAAGUCCCGCAACGAGCGCAACCCUUGCUGUUAGUUGCUAACAGGUAGCGCUGAGCACUCUAGCAGGACUGCCGGUGACAAACCGGAGGAAGGUGGGGAUGACGUCAAAUCAUCAUGCCCUUUAUGAUCCGGGCUACACACGUGCUACAAUGGCCAGUACAGAGAGACGCAAGACCGCGAGGUGGAGCAAAUCUCAGAAAGCUGGUCACAGUUCGGAUUGCAGGCUGCAACUCGCCUGCAUGAAGUCGGAAUCGCUAGUAAUCGCGAAUCAGCAUGUCGCGGUGAAUGCGUUCCCGGGCCUUGUACACACCGCCCGU
rnacentral:rRNA from 1 species